CAUUAGAUCCUCGCUUUAAGGCCCUGCCAUUCUUGUCCAAAGAGACCUGUAACAACACAUUCUCUCAGUUGGUGUUGGAAGCAGCAGGUUUGGAGAACGUGGACACAGCUAUUCGACAGUCUGAUGGUGACACAUCUGAGGAAACUGUCCCUGACAUCUCUCUUGGUGGUGUUGAUGAAGUGGAUUAUGCCCCUCCAAUUAAGAGGUCAAAGGACUCUGCAUUAAUUUUUCUCCUUGGGCCAGCCUACUCAACAAAAACCACAGCACCACAGAAAACACCAACUCAGAAGGCAAAGGAAGAAGUGAAUCGAUACAGGGACGUUGAGCCUGUUGCACUUUCUGAGGAUCCUUUGAUCUGGUGGAGGGACCAUGAAAGGGAGUAUCCUCUCUUGGCUCUACAAGCAAAGCAGUAUCUUUCCAUACCUGGGACCAGUGUUCCUUCUGAACGAGUGUUUUCAACUGCUGGUGACAUUGUUACCGCACAAAGGAGCUGCCUGACUCCACAACAUGUAGACCAGCUUCUCUUCUUGCAGAAAAACCUUACAGUCUCAAAGAAGUGAGAGGGUAGUUAUAAAUAAGGCUAAAUUGCAUUAGUUUCACAGAGGUUUUACAAUACUGUUCAAUAUGUUUUCAUUUUUUGAAGUAUUUUAAAAGGCAGUUUUUCAUUUUCUGAUCGGUCAGUUUCUGUCAGUUCACUUGUACAUGCUGUGUUAUACUGUGUGUCUCCAAAACACAAUAGUGGAUUUCAGAAAAGCUGUGUGAGACACUAACAGCAAAACUAUUUCUCUGAGGUUUUACUGAUGUUUACAAAAGAUGUGUUCUAUUUGCACUGGAUCCCUGAUCCACUUGAAAUGUAUGUAUGAAAAAAUAUAUAUACUAAUGUUAAUUAAAAAUUACAUUAUUUAA